CCAGAAUCCACUCUGGCUGGAAUCCGGUGGAUACAGCAGUGUUACAGUGUUUGUCCUGUUUUGUUCCUCAGGUACAGUACGUGAUAUUAAGGGCAGGCGGUCAUCACCGGGGGAAGACAAGAAGCAGACGUACUUCCAAGAGGGAGCUGCAGUGAGGACACAGCCUGGUCACUGAGGUCAGAGGAGGCGCUGAAAGGUUUCCCUAAUAGUUCCUGGUGAAUCAAAGCAGAACUGUAAAGGUUGCUGGACUGCAUGAUGGCCUUACCCCUGAGAAGUCAUCCUGUUAAAGGAGGAACCAGUUAGAAGCUGUUUUCAAAGUAGCUGAGCAGAUUUCAUCUCAAUAGAUCAAAGCAGCUCGUGCUCUGUCUGCUUCCAUUCUGAUGGCAAGAAGAAGAAGAAGGAGAAGACUUCAGCGAAGUGGCGUUCAUGGUCUCAGUGGACAGUCAUGGUCACACACUGCAUGUGGUUUUAAAUGCAAUAUUGUUCACCACAACAAUGGAGAUGUGUAAUAUCAGUGCAGCUACGGUUUGUUCUUGAACAUCAGUUCUGUUUUCUACUUUGACCACUUAGACCAAAAAAAGUGUUGUUUUCAGAUUCUUUCUUUUUAAAUCUAUGAAGCACCUGUUCAUUUUUUAUUACAAUUAGUUUCACAUAAAUGUUAGUGUUUCCUUUAUGAUCUUUUAAUGCUUACGCUACACUGUACACGUCUACAUUAGAGACAUUUCUGUUACCUAUUUAUGAGACUGGGCUGCUUGACUACAAUUUGG
ensembl:lncRNA